GUGGCCUCUCUUUUAGCUUUGUUCAAACAAGAACAUAGUUUGCAUCCUGACAUUUCCCUGAAAACGGCGAGUUUCAUUUAUCACCAGGGUAGUUUUCCAGCGUCGUGUCCACUGUUGUAAAGAAAACAUUUCCUGGCUCCUGGUCUAGUCACGCAGUAAAGAUUAGAUUAUCUGUAGACGCACUCUUGAAUAUAUUGCGAUGUGCCUGGGUCUUACUUCAAGGAACUUACAGUCUAAUCAGGAAAGAUUGGACAUGGACAUGAAUACAAUCUGAAGUAAAAAGAAAAAUGGAGUUGAUUCCUCUCUCCUUGAGUGUGGACUGGACUGGACUUGUUGCUCAGGGAGAGGUCAGAUGUCCUGUCAUGAGGAUAUUCAAGCAGCCCUAUGGAGAGGCCCAUGUGUCGAAAACCUGAGUCUUCCUGCUAACAGUCAGCAAGGAACUGAGGACAUCUGACAACAGCCAUGAGAGGGAGCCAUCCUGGAUGCAGAUCGUCCGGCCCCAGUUAAACCUUCAGAUGAUGGCAGCUGCAGCUGACAGCCUGACAGCAUGCACAUGAAAGACCCUGAGCCAGAACCACCCAGUUAAGCUGCUCUCGGAUUCCUGACCCUCAUAAACUCUGUGAGAUAAUGUUUGUUGUUUUAAGACACUAAGUUUUGGGGCACUUUGUUAUGCAGCAAUAGAU